AUGAAACGGGCCACCCAGAGAUGAUC
rnacentral:piRNA from 1 species